GACGAACGCUCGUUGCGUGCUUAACACAUGCAAGUCGAACGGAAAGGCCCUUCGGGGUACUCGAGUGGCGAACGGGUGAGUAACACGUGGGUGAUCUGCCCUGCACUUUGGGAUAAGCCUGGGAAACUGGGUCUAAUACCGAAUAGGACCACGCGCUUCAUGGUGUGUGGUGGAAAGCUUUUGCGGUGUGGGAUGGGCCCGCGGCCUAUCAGCUUGUUGGUGGGGUAAUGGCCUACCAAGGCGACGACGGGUAGCCGGCCUGAGAGGGUGACCGGCCACACUGGGACUGAGAUACGGCCCAGACUCCUACGGGAGGCAGCAGUGGGGAAUAUUGCACAAUGGGCGCAAGCCUGAUGCAGCGACGCCGCGUGAGGGAUGACGGCCUUCGGGUUGUAAACCUCUUUCAAUAGGGACGAAGCGCAAGUGACGGUACCUAUAGAAGAAGCACCGGCCAACUACGUGCCAGCAGCCGCGGUAAUACGUAGGGUGCGAGCGUUGUCCGGAAUUACUGGGCGUAAAGAGCUCGUAGGUGGUUUGUCGCGUUGUUCGUGAAAACUCACAGCUUAACUGUGGGCGUGCGGGCGAUACGGGCAGACUAGAGUACUGCAGGGGAGACUGGAAUUCCUGGUGUAGCGGUGGAAUGCGCAGAUAUCAGGAGGAACACCGGUGGCGAAGGCGGGUCUCUGGGCAGUAACUGACGCUGAGGAGCGAAAGCGUGGGGAGCGAACAGGAUUAGAUACCCUGGUAGUCCACGCCGUAAACGGUGGGUGCUAGGUGUGGGUUCCUUCCUUGGGAUCCGUGCCGUAGCUAACGCAUUAAGUACCCCGCCUGGGGAGUACGGCCGCAAGGCUAAAACUCAAAGGAAUUGACGGGGGCCCGCACAAGCGGCGGAGCAUGUGGAUUAAUUCGAUGCAACGCGAAGAACCUUACCUGGGUUUGACAUGCACAGGACGCCGGCAGAGAUGUCGGUUCCCUUGUGGUCUGUGUGCAGGUGGUGCAUGGCUGUCGUCAGCUCGUGUCGUGAGAUGUUGGGUUAAGUCCCGCAACGAGCGCAACCCUUGUCCUAUGUUGCCAGCGGGUUAUGCCGGGGACUCGUAGGAGACUGCCGGGGUCAACUCGGAGGAAGGUGGGGAUGACGUCAAGUCAUCAUGCCCCUUAUGUCCAGGGCUUCACACAUGCUACAAUGGCCGGUACAAAGGGCUGCGAUGCCGUGAGGUGGAGCGAAUCCUUUCAAAGCCGGUCUCAGUUCGGAUCGGGGUCUGCAACUCGACCCCGUGAAGUCGGAGUCGCUAGUAAUCGCAGAUCAGCAACGCUGCGGUGAAUACGUUCCCGGGCCU
rnacentral:rRNA from 1 species